rnacentral:rRNA from 1 species
UACGGAGGGUGCAAGCGUUAUCCGGAUUCACUGGGUUUAAAGGGUGCGUAGGUGGCCUGGUAAGUCAGGGGUGAAAGACGGUAGCUCAACUAUCGCAGUGCCUUUGAUACUGCCGGGCUUGAAUACAGUUGAAGUGGGCGGAAUGUGACAAGUAGCGGUGAAAUGCAUAGAUAUGUCACAGAACACCGAUUGCGAAGGCAGCUCACUAAAGUGUGAUUGACACUGAGGCACGAAAGCGUGGGGAUCAAACAGG